rnacentral:rRNA from 1 species
AGCGAACGUUAGCGGCGGGCUUAACACAUGCAAGUCGAGCGAGAAAGGGGCUUCGGCCCUGAGUACAGCGGCGGACGGGUGAAUAACACGUAGGUAACCUUCCUUUCAGCGGGGGACAACGGUCCGAAAGGACCGCUAAUACCGCAUACGUUCCCCGGGACCUCGGUCCUGGGGAGGAAAGGCCCGCAAGGGCCACUGGAUGAGGGGCCUGCGUAGCAUCAGCUAGUUGGUGGGGUAAUGGCCUACCAAGGCGAAGACGCUUUAGCUGGUCUGAGAGGAUGAUCAGCCACACUGGGACUGAGACACGGCCCAGACUCCUACGGGAGGCAGCAGUGGGGAAUAUUGGACAAUGGGCGCAAGCCUGAUCCAGCCACGCCGCGUGAGUGAUGAAGGCCUUCGGGUCGUAAAGCUCUGUGGGGAGGGAC